AAUGGGUCAGCGACUUAUAUUCUGUAGCAAGGUUAACCGAAUAGGGGAGCCGAAGGGAAACCGAGUCUUAACUGGGCGUUAAGUUGCAGGGUAUAGACCCGAAACCCGGUGAUCUAGCCAUGGGCAGGUUGAAGGUUGGGUAACACUAACUGGAGGACCGAACCGACUAAUGUUGAAAAAUUAGCGGAUGACUUGUGGCUGGGGGUGAAAGGCCAAUCAAACCGGGAGAUAGCUGGUUCUCCCCGAAAGCUAUUUAGGUAGCGCCUCGUGAAUUCAUCUCCGGGGGUAGAGCACUGUUUCGGCAAGGGGGUCAUCCCGACUUACCAACCCGAUGCAAACUGCGAAUACCGGAGAAUGUUAUCACGGGAGACACACGGCGGGUGCUAACGUCCGUCGUGAAGAGGGAAACAACCCAGACCGCCAGCUAAGGUCCCAAAGUCAUGGUUAAGUGGGAAACGAUGUGGGAAGGCCCAGACAGCCAGGAUGUUGGCUUAGAAGCAGCCAUCAUUUAAAGAAAGCGUAAUAGCUCACUGGUCGAGUCGGCCUGCGCGGAAGAUGUAACGGGGCUAAACCAUGCACC
rnacentral:rRNA from 1 species